CAUCUUCCCUUUUUCAUCUCAAUUUCUCAUAGUUUAGGCAUUUUUACCUUUUAAUUUCUAUGUUAAAAUGGCAUGUAAUAUUUUAGGUAGUUUCAAUUUCUCUUUUUAAUUUCUUGCAAGACCAUAGAAUGUAAACUAGGACCAAUGUAACGGACAAUGGACUCAAAUGAUGUACAUCGACACAAGCACCGACACGCACACACGUUGUAUGUUGAUUUACCGCUUUAGAUGUAUGCUUAGGAAACGCGAUACUUAGAAAAAUAUCAAUUUUCUAAAAAUAGGUAAAUUCCAUCACUUGAAUUUUUUUUUUCUUCCAAAUAAACCUUGGAGUCAAAACUCCAUUGAAUUUUCCCUUUAUUUUCUUAAUCAAACUCAAAUGAACUCUAAUUCCAACUUAGACCUUUUUUAAUAAUAAUUGAACCAACUAUUCACCAUUUUUUCUCUCAUGCCUUUACGGCCUCUUUCUCUUCUUCAAAACCAUUUUCCAAAAAAACUAAAAUCAAUCAAACACACAAAAACAUUUUUGAAAGAGAACUACAUGGAAUUUUGAUCCCUUAAAAGGGUAUGUAGGCAAGAGGUCAAAACCUCUCCAAGUCCAAUAAAAUAAAAAUCCAAACACUCCUCCCCCCAUUCUUAACAUAAACAACUUCCUUUUUUAAUAAAUAGCAUUAAAAAUAAAGCGUAGACAUAAAACUAGGAAAACGGUUCCUAUAGAGUACUAUAGUCGUUGCGGGUGCCUAACACCUUCCCGUAACGAAAACGACCCCCGAACUUAGAAUUUCUAAGGGUUUUCUCAAUUUUACCCUUCCCAAGA
rnacentral:lncRNA from 1 species